rnacentral:rRNA from 1 species
AUACGUAGGGUGCAAGCGUUAAUCGGAAUUACUGGGCGUAAAGCGUGCGCAGGCGGUUUUGUAAGACAGUGGUGAAAUCCCCGGGCUCAACCUGGGAACUGCCAUUGUGACUGCAAGGCUGGAGUGCGGCAGAGGGGGAUGGAAUUCCGCGGGUAGCAGUGAAAUGCGUAGAUAUGCGGAGGAACACCGAUGGCGAAGGCAAUCCCCUGGGCCUGCACUGACGCUCAUGCACGAAAGCGUGGGGAGCAAGCAGGAUUAGAUACCCUGGUAGUCCACGCCCUAAACGAUGUCAACUGGUUGUUGGGGAUUUAUUUUCUCAGUAACGAAGCUAACGCGUGAAGUUGACCGCCUGGGGAGUACGGCCGCAAGGUUAAAACUCAAAGGAAUUGACGGGG